rnacentral:rRNA from 1 species
AGCGAACGCUGGCGGCAGGCUUAACACAUGCAAGUCGAACGGGCACUUCGGUGCUAGUGGCAGACGGGUGAGUAACGCGUGGGAACGUGCCUUUCGGUUCGGAAUAAUCCAGGGAAACUUGGACUAAUACCGGAUACGCCCUUCGGGGGAAAGAUUUAUCGCCGAAAGAUCGGCCCGCGUCGGAUUAGCUAGUCGGUGAGGUAAAGGCUCACCAAGGCGACGAUCAGUAGCUGGUCUGAGAGGAUGAUCAGCCACACUGGGACUGAGACACGGCCCAGACUCCUACGGGAGGCAGCAAUGGGGAAUAUUGGACAAUGGGCGAAAGCCUGAUCCAGCCAUGCCGCGUGAGUGAUGAAGGCCUUAGGGUUGUAAAGCUCUUUUGUCCGGGAAGAUAAUGACUGUACCGGAAGAAUAAGCCCCGGCUAACUUCGUGCCAGCAGCCGCCGUAACAC